CCUACGGGGGGCUGCAGUGGGGAAUAUUGGACAAUGGGGGGAACCCUGAUCCAGCCAUGCCGCGUGUGUGAAGAAGGCCCUCGGGUUGUAAAGCACUUUCAGUGAGGAAGAACGCCUGGUGGUUAAUACCCAUCAGGAAAGACAUCACUCACAGAAGAAGCACCGACUAACUCCGUGCCAGCAGCCGCGGUAAUACGGAGGGUGCGAGCGUUAAUCGGAAUUACUGGGCGUAAAGCGCGCGUAGGUGGCUUGAUAAGCCGGUUGUGAAAGCCCCGGGCUCAACCUGGGAACGGCAUCCGGAACUGUCAAGCUAGAGUGCAGGAGAGGAAGGUAGAAUUCCCGGUGUAGCGGUGAAAUGCGUAGAGAUCGGGAGGAAUACCAGUGGCGAAGGCGGCCUUCUGGACUGACACUGACACUGAGGUGCGAAAGCGUGGGUAGCAAACAGGAUUAGAUACCCGGGUAGUC
rnacentral:rRNA from 1 species